rnacentral:rRNA from 1 species
UAGUCCACGCUGUAAACGAUGAGUGCUAGAUGUUGGGAUUUAUUCUCAGUGUCGCAGCUAACGCAUUAAGCACUCCGCCUGGGGAGUACGGUCGCAAGAUUAAAACUCAAAGGAAUUGACGGGGGACCCGCACAAGCGGUGGAGCAUGCGGUUUAAUUCGAUGCUACGCGAAAAACCUUACCAACCCUUGCAUCCCGAUCGCGAGAACCAGAGAUGGAUCUCUUCAGUUAGGCUGGAUCGGUGACAGGUGUUGCAUGGCUGUCGUCAGCUCGUGUCGUGAGAUGUUGGGUUAAGUCCCGCAACGAGCGCAACCCUCACUCUUAUUUGCCAACAGGUUAUGCUGGGAACUAUAAGAGAACUGCCGGCGUAAGUCGGAGGAAGGUGAGGACGACGUCAAGUCAUCAUGGCCCUUACGGGUUGGGCUACACGCGUGCUACAAUGGCAAUUACAAUGAGACGCAAUACCGACGAGGUGGAGCUAAUCUUAUAAAAAUUGUCU